CACAAAACAGGAUCGUUUGAAAGACAACGAACUGCCUUUUUGGAGAAGACAUCACUUGUUUUAUAUGUCGUCCAUUCAAACUACCCGGCUUCAUUAAGAAAAUAGCGCUGUUUACAAUUAUGUGCCACAACUGUUUUUCAGCUUUCUUGUGAAAAUAAAACAAGUGUCACGUCGCGGGCAAACAUUCAAACGCUUUAAGCAGGGGCUGUCGUCUGUAAACAUUUGGUUUUGAUAUUUUAAACAUUUUUAUUUUAGGCACAUAACAUUUCUUUCAUCCUUCCACUGUCCUUUCCCCCCUUUAGCCAGUUUUGUUUAUCAUUCUUGCGCACUUUUGCAGAGGCGAACAACUAUUUUAGGCGUCCAAGCGAUAAAAAGAAAUCAAUUGCGACCUUUUCCAUCGCCGAAAAAAGGACAGUUGGAAGUUAGAUUGAUUCGUUACACCUUACUAGGAAGUGAACACUUUGCACGGGAAGGGGAGGGACUCCUGAAACAAGUUGAGUAUGACCGUAACAAGCUUCCUACAACGCUUACACAUUACUUAUUCAUCAAUUGCAAAACAUCCACAAAUUAAAUAACGUGUCCACGGUGUUAGACAUUUCGGAUCCUAUUAGGUUAAGAAGCGUAUUAAAUCCACCGCAUAUCUGCUCUUCCGUACUUUGUUGUCACCGGUGUACCUGGCAGCCCCCAAAAUCGUAGUUAAAUCUCAACUUUGUUUUUGUCUUUAUACGAGCGUUGACGCAAUGUCCACUCUUUCUGUAAGUUGGCGAGUGGGUGGGUGUGUGCGUGUUUUUUUAAUCGCUGGGAAGGGGAACGCGAGAAAUACGAGAGGUUUUUUUUUUUUUUUUUUUGAGGUGGCCUUGGCUCGCUCCGGUCGCCUGAUGUUUCUAACGGAUUUUAAAGGUUGUUCGUCGCGCGGUGGGUUCGGCACGCGGUGGAUUUCAGCCUGUGGACCGACGCGAGAGCUUCGCCUUGCAUAUCGCAUCCCGGUGAUGUUGCUGUUCUGCAAAUAGGACGAUAUUGCAGUCCACGGGUCAGAGGUCUUAUUUUCAGGAAGAUGCUGAACAAUUUCGAGCGCUACCGGAAUGAAAAAGGAAACAUUUGGCUCUUUCAUAUACUUCCGAAGCGUAAUUAUUAAGAUGUAACCGUUUUAGAUCAAAGACAUGCAUGAGACGCCUUUGAUAAUGUAUGGUUUUUAAGAGAAACAAAAUAGGAUGUUUUUUUUUUUUGUUUUUCCGCUUCAGUCAAACUCAUAGCCUGAGGGUUUGAGUUAGAGAGCGAUCUCUUCUCACUACUGAUGCAACAAAGAGAAAAACAGCCCCCUAAAGCUGCUCAAGAGCGCUCUACUUCUGACGCUUACUGGAAAUGUGUUUGUUUUUAUAAAAGAUCUAAAAGCAUUAAUAAGAACAACAAGAAAUGUUUUCCUCUUUUUUUUUUUUCUCUCCAUUGACCGGCUGAAAUAUCCCGCUCGAUGCCGAGCUGUUAUGAUAACACGACCCAUUCGAGACCAUUCAAAUAGAUGUGUUUUUUUAACUAAAAAUACAUGGGGGGAAACUAUCUUUGGAGUCUUUAGUAAAAUGAUCUGAUAAACAUAACCAGAAACAUCUCGCCUAGCAAACGUAGGCCACAUCUCGCAGCCAAAACCUGCCAUUUGUGUUUACUUAAGCUGAGACGGCUGCCUAUCAAAACACAAUUCAGCAGUCAGGAGGUGUUUAUGUAGGGGUUUUGGUUUAUGUAACACCAACGAGACUCCGUAUACGCACCAUUUCAGUCCCAAUGUCUCUCCCAAACUGAACACCUUCACUCUCUUAGCCAGAAAUAAUUCGAUUCAGACACACAGCCCUAUAAAGUCGGGCUUUCUUUGAUCCGGGUGUUAGGUUUUCCUGCCUAACGCUGUGGCAGGAGGCUGAAGGGAGUCCGUGUCUUGCCGAAAGCCUCGUCUGGUUCUGGCUGGCCUUUGCUGAGGAGCAAAUGAUGACGAUAGACUCAAGGCUAAAUCAGCAAAUCAGACCAAUAUGGCCCUGCUCCACCCUGAAACAUCCAGCAAACGUUCACACACUGCACUUCUCUUCUCAAUGAGAGAGUGCUUUUUGUGCCAGGUUACAUGGUGGACAUUUCCCUGCUUUUUUUCUCUUUCUUUGAGGUCUUGGUAAAUAAAUUCUUCCUUCAUUCAA
ensembl:antisense